rnacentral:rRNA from 1 species
AACGAACGCUGGCGGCAUGCCUAACACAUGCAAGUCGAACGAAACCUUCGGGUCUAGUGGCGCACGGGUGCGUAACGCGUGGGAACCUGCCCUUAGGUUCGGAAUAACUCCCCGAAAGGGGUGCUAAUACCGGAUAAUGUCUUCGGACCAAAGAUUUAUCGCCUUUGGAUGGGCCCGCGUUGGAUUAGCUAGUUGGUAGGGUAAAAGCCUACCAAGGCGACGAUCCAUAGCUGGGCUGAGAGGAUGAUCAGCCACACUGGGACUGAGACACGGCCCAGACUCCUACGGGAGGCAGCAGUGGGGAAUAUUGGACAAUGGGCGAAAGCCUGAUCCAGCAAUGCCGGGUGAGUGAUGAAGGCCUUAGGGUUGUAAAGCUCUUUUAACCGGGAUGAUAAUGACAGUACCGGGAGAAUAAGCCCCGGCUAACUCCGUG